UACGUAGGGUCCGAGCGUUGUCCGGAAUUAUUGGGCGUAAAGGGCUCGUAGGCGGUCCGUCAAGUCGACUGUGAAAUCUCAGGGCUCAACCCUGAGCUUGCAGGCGAUACUGGCGGACUUGAGGCAGGUAGAGGGGUGUGGAAUUUCCUGUGUAGCGGUGAAAUGCGUAGAUAUCUGGAGGAAUACCGAUGGCGAAGGCAGCCAUCUGGCCUAAUACUGACGCUGAGGUACGAAAGCAUGGGGAGCAAACAGG
rnacentral:misc_RNA from 1 species